rnacentral:rRNA from 1 species
AUGGUUAGGAUUGUGGUUAUUGUUAAGUGGGGGUUAUGGUUAUUAAUUCAUAUAUAUGUUAUGGCAUAUGUAUUUUGUGCAAAUAUUUUUGUUAAGUACUUACUUGAUAUAUGUGUGUUUUUGAUUAUUGUAGGGAUGGGGAGAACAUGUGUUUAUGUUCAUCAUGUGGAUAAAGAGGCCUUUUUGAAAGGAAAUGUUGAUCCGGAUCCGGAUGAGCUUGACAUGGUGUUUGAGAGUAGUCCUAGCUAUGCGGAGCUCUUGGACCAAGUGAGGAAGGAUUUGAAUUGGAUGGACCCAAGUGACGUUGUUGAGUUCGAGGGAAGGCAUAAUGUUGGUUUUGGAAUGCACAUCUGUUGGAAGACAAUGCGUGUGAACUCGGAGCAACGUUGGGUUGCAUACAAGGAGACGGUUGCCGAAUCUCUAGACAAGGCUCUUGAGUUAUUUGCCUCCAAGAAGGUUGAGUCUACUUUGAAUUUGGACUUGAACCGGAACCCCUCCCCGUUGGUUGCUAGCACUCCCCCAUCCAUUAACCAAGAUCAAAUGAGUGAACCUCAUUUCGUGCAACAAGAUUGGCCAACAUUGAGCCCGACUCCAAACAACCAAAAUGAAGCUUUUAAAGAGGAGAAUGAUGAGUACGAGGAGGAUGACAACGAAGUUGAUCUCCAUGACAACAAUGUGGGUGAUCUCGACCAAUAUCAUGUGCAAGAGACAAUGGACCAAUCCAUCCCUUUUUCCCGUGCAUAUGCAUCGGACUCGGAUGACGAUGGUCCCGAUGAAGAAGUUGAUGAGGAGGGGUUCACGCCGAAGGAGGCCCAAGCAUUCAAGAAGGUAUUCGGGAAGGACCACAAGACACCAUUGUUCAAGGAUCUUAGUCUCGCGGAUGAAGCCGUUGUGGAUGGUGGCAAAUGCAUAUCUCUUGGAGCUAGGCCAAGUUCUCACCGUGAUUUGGAAGACGGCAAGAACGGGAUAUAUCCCGGUUGUGAGUUUGAAUCCUUCUUGGAAUUGAAGAUGUGGCUUGACAACUAUUCGGUUACACAUUAUCGUCCACAUAAAGUGGCCAACUCGGACGUCAAUGUGCGUUAA